rnacentral:rRNA from 1 species
GAGCGGCGUACGGGUGCGUAACACGUGUGCAACCUACCUUUAUCAGGGGAAUAGCCUUUCGAAAGGAAGAUUAAUACUCCAUAAUAUAUGAUCAGGCAUCUGAUUUUAUUGAAAACUCCGGUGGAUAGAGAUGGGCACGCGCAGGAUUAGAUAGUUGGUGAGGUAACGGCUCACCAAGUCAUUGAUCUUUAGGGGUCCUGAGAGGGAGAUCCCCCACACUGGUACUGAGACACGGACCAGACUCCUACGGGAGGCAGCAGUGAGGAAUAUUGGACAAUGGGUGAGAGCCUGAUCCAGCCAUCCCGCGUGAAGGAUGACGGCCUACGGAUUGUAAACUUCUUUUGUAUAGGGAUAAACCCAGAUACGUGUAUCUGGCUGAUGGUACUAUACGAAUAAGCACCGCUAACUCCGUGCCAGCAGCCGUGGUAAUACGGAGGGAGCAAGCGUUAUCCGGAUUUAUUGGGUUUAAAGGGCCGCAGGCGACCGAUAAGUCAGUGGCGAAAUCUCAUAGCUUAACUAUGAAACUGCCGGUGAUACUUGCCGGACGUUGGGGUAAAUUAGAGGUAGCUGGAAUAAGUAGUGUAGCGGUGAAA